UUUUUUUUUUUUUUUUUUUUAUUAUAUCAUGUGUUCUAGAACAAGUACAUUUCACAAGGUUUCUUUUUUAAAUGUUAAAUCAAGUAAACAGUUAAUGAACUUUUCUGAUGAAUUUUUUUUUGGUCUUCAUAUACAUAAAUAUUAAGAUUCACUGUAAUAAUUGAGAUGCAGGUGUGUGUGUGUGUCCGUGCAUGAUGAAGACUUAGAAGUAGUGUUGGUCCAGGAGGACUUAUCCUAUUGAACCUGUGAGUGUUUUGUUGCCUUCUUCAUUCCUAAACCUUGUGUGUGAUUGGUCAUGAGAAUGAUCACAGAUCAUUGAAUAGAUUUGUAGUCUGAGAAAGAAGUCAUUUGACCAAAGUUUUUUGA